rnacentral:tRNA from 1 species
GGUGUAGCUCAGUUGGUUAGAGCGCCAGAUUGUGGCUCUGGAGGUCGUGAGUUCGACUCUCACUAC